UACGGGGGGGGCAAGCGUUGUUCGGAAUUACUGGGCGUAAAGGGCUCGUAGGUGGCCAACUAAGUCAGACGUGAAAUCCCUCGGCUUAACCGGGGAACUGCGUCUGAUACUGGAUGGCUUGAGUUUGGGAGAGGGAUGCGGAAUUCCAGGUGUAGCGGUGAAAUGCGUAGAUAUCUGGAGGAACACCGGUGGCGAAGGCGGCAUCCUGGACCAACACUGACACUGAUGCGCGAAAGCCAGGGGAGCAAACGGG
rnacentral:rRNA from 1 species